rnacentral:lncRNA from 1 species
CAAAAUAUUUUUUGAAAUUAAAAUCCCAAUUUUACCAUUUUUCCUGAUUUUUCAGGAAUUUUUCUUGUAUUUUUCCAAAUUUUGGGGAAUUUUUUGGGUAUUUUCAUAAAGAAUUAAAUAAUCCUUUAAUAAAAACCCAUCCCUCUCCAGGAGAUGCUUCCUAGGCGUGGGUACCCCCGCCAAGGAGGCAUCCAAUGAGCCACGCCUAGGAGACUCGUCUCCUGGGCGUUGCUGAGUGUUGUUCCACAUGUUUAGUCUCCUUGGCGUGGCUACACCCGCCAAGGAGGCAUUUUAGCAGCCACGCGUAGGAGGCAUGCUCCUAGAAUCGGUCAUGCCUUUCCAGAGUGAAAUGUCUCCUAGGCGUUGGUGCACACGCCCAGUAGACAUAAUUUGGCAGCGCGCCAAGAAAAAGUGCUUCCUUGGCGUGGUUGGACAAUGCUUUCUUCAAGUAUUGCUUCCUUGGCGUGGGUACACCCGCCAAGGAGACAUAGUGCUGUACCACGCCUAGGAAAUAUGCUUCCUGGGCGUGGUUGUCUUUAAGGCCUUCUCAGGCUUGAUUUCUUAUGCUUCCUAGGCGUGGGUAUCCCCGCCAAGGAGACAUAGUGCUGUACCACGCCUAGGAAAUAUGCUUCCUGGGCGUGGUUGUCUUUAAGGCCUUCUCAGGCUUGAUUUCUUAUGCUUCCUAGGCGUGGGUAUCCCCGCCAAGGAGACAUAGUGCUGUACCACGCCUAGGAAAUAUGCUUCCUGGGCGUGGUUGUCUUUAAGGCCUUCUCAGGCUUGAUUUCUUAUGCUUCCUAGGCGUGGGUAUCCCCGCCAAGGAGACAUAGUGCUGUACCACGCCUAGGAAAUAUGCUUCCUGGGCGUGGUUGUCUUUAAGGCCUUCUCAGGCUUGAUUUCUUAUGCUUCCUAGGCGUGGGUAUCCCCGCCAAGGAGACAUAGUGCUGUACCACGCCUAGGAAAUAUGCUUCCUGGGCGUGGUUGUCUUUAAGGCCUUCUCAGGCUUGAUUUCUUAUGCUUCCUAGGCGUGGGUAUCCCCGCCAAGGAGACAUAGUGCUGUACCACGCCUAGGAAAUAUGCUUCCUAGGCGUGGUUGUCUUUAAGGCCUUCUCAGGCUUGAUUUGUUAUGCUUCCUAGGCGGGGGUAACCCCGCCAAGGAGGCACGUUGGUAUUUCGUAAAUAAAGCAUUUUGAUAUAACCGUCUUAGGAACAUGUUACCGUUAUAGGUUGUGGGCCUUAGUCUAUAACCUGUCAGGCCUAUAUAGCUUAUUUUUCUUUAUUUUUUGCGUGUGUCUCCCAGAAUUCUUGAGAUCCUUCUAGAAUAGGUUCGAAUUUUUCAAGUCUAUGGGCUUCCCGCCUUUGACAAGGCUUGAUGACCGGCCCAAGGCCCAUUCUACUGGCUGUAGCCAGUUCAUUUUAGGGUUUACCGGCAAGUGAACGGGUUAAGCUUUUUCUAUAUAAUGUGUGACUUGAGAUUUCAUUUCUCAUUUCACACAAUAGUUUCCAAGUUCAAGAGCUAAAAAUCCUCCCAAACACUCUCAAAUAUCCUCUAGCUUUUAGGCGAAAUUUCAGGCGAAUUUCCGGCAAUCUUCAAAGAUUUUCCAGAUUCCGGCCGAUAUUCAAAGUUUUUCCAGUUUUCCGGGCGAUCUUCAAGGAAUUCCCAGUUUUCCGGACGAUAUUCAUCAUUUCUUCAUAAUUUUCUGGGUUUCAUACCUUCAUCCGAAGAAGAUCAAUGGCCGAUUCUGCAUCCUCACAGCAAUCCCAGCUUUCGCAGCAACCUGCAGCUCGUUCGCGCGCCAACCGAGGUAAAAAAUCCCUCGUCCAUGCUAG